AGAAAUGUACAAAGGACUGAUAUGUGUCAUCUAUAGCAUGUCCCCUUUGUCUGAAUGUUCAACUAGAAGAGUUUCAUCUCAUUUGGCAAGGAGCACUGCAAUAAUACAUGCAACUCUUCACAGCUACUAACAUGAAGUUGCACUCAGGCUCUCGCAUGGACUAAAGAGUUAUUGUCAGUAUGUAUCACUGUUUAAUUUUUACAGUCUAUAGGUUUAUUUAUAUGGCAAGUAUUGAUCUCAAGGACAAUAUUGUUGUAACUACUGUCACCCAUUCAAAAAUUUCUUUAGAAGGACCAACAACAGGUAUUUUGCUGACCUGGACAUUGAAAUAAUGAGCACAAAAGGUUUAGGGCAUAUGCGAAUAAUUGAAGUUUUAUAUUUGCGCACAAGGGAGAAAUGCCUAAAUUAGAAGGAAGAGUAAAAUUUAAUACUCUGUUGUUGCAGUGUGGCUUUUGGGAAUCCUUAGCAAGAUUCUCCCAGAGGUGAAGCUUAGACACCACCAUGGAUUUGUCUGGCUAUGAAUCAUGGUCAUGAAAUACGUUCAUGUUGUUCUCUUUCCAGAUGCUUUAGAACAGACAAGCGAUGAUGCUGGAAUUUCUCGAUUCCGUUUUAUGUUAUAGUUCAUACUACAACACACAUAUACUGCAGCCUCUUAAAUUAUAAAAUUAUUGUCUCUUAGAUUAUAAAAUUUCAUGAUAUCAAAUUGUACGUACUAGAAAUUUUCUCCUUUUUACUGCCUGCUUGAUUGUAUAUAUAGAAUAACUAGAUAAUGAUGCUCCAUGCAUUACUAGAGCUGUUGAUAGCUUGUCCACCUAGAUUAUUUUACACUCCCUUCUUAGGAGAAUUUAGAUUUAAUAUUUAGGUGCAACGCAUGUACUACGAAGCGAGAUAUUUAGUUUGUUUUUCUUUGGUAAACCAUACUCUCGACAUUCCAAAACCUCUACUACUAAAGGUAUAAUUUGAUUAUUUAACUUCAUACUUUGACCAUAAAUCUCUGGAAAAAAAAGUUAAUUGAUGGUUAAAAGUCAUUUGCUACUGCACUGGACUAUGAGCUUGAAAAAAGAGUACCUACCUAAUACCUAGAGAGGUGGCUAAUCCUUCCAGUGACCUAUAUAUGUAAGUAUGUAAGUUAGGCUCGAUUCCAAGUUAGCCUAUACUAUUUGUGUCAAUUUAGUUUAUCCUGUUACCACUUGCAAAUAUACUAUAAUAUAAUAGAACUCCAAUAGUUGUCUUCAAUAGAGAGGGAAUAAAUCUCUAACGAAUAUUUUGGUACAUUCAUGCUACGUAUCUUUUGCAUUUAAAAUAGAACAUGCAAUAGGCAGUCAUAGCAAAUCUAUAUACUGCAUAAACCUUUACUUGAAAGGAUUAAAUCACAUAACUUGUCCCGUCCAUUAUAAUUGAUGAUGUCUAUACAGUCAACACAACAAACAAAUAUUAGGCCAAAUGACCACACACAGAACCAAGAAAAAUCUUAGUUCCAUAUGAAGCUGCCUAACAGUAUCCAUAACAUACAUCGACUAAUAAAGCUCCAGCCUGCUUCAGUUUAAUAGUAGAGCGCGUUCAGGAAUCAAAAUCAUGCAAAUUGGUUAUUUAUUAUAGUUGGAAAAGAACUAUUGUUAAAGCAGAGUCUACGGUUAAUAAGUUCAUAAGUCUUAGCCGCUUCUUUUUGGCGUAUUGAAUGUGCAGGAAUUGAUACAAUAAAAUUUCAAUAAGAUGUCAUCAUUAUAUCCAUUGUCAAUUUAGCUGAACAUUUUUUUAGAAAAAAUUCUACGAAACUUGUAAGGUAUCAUGUUGACCAUCUGCGAGGAAUAGUUAAUGACCCUUUGACCCAAUACACUUCGAUCAUUGAUCAAUUUCUACAUGUCAGUUGUCUUGUGACACGGAUCACUUGUUCCUGGAACUUCC
rnacentral:lncRNA from 1 species